UUAAGCGACUAAGCGUACACGGUGGAUGCCCUGGCAGUCAGAGGCGAUGAAGGGCGUGCUAAUCUGCGAUAAGCGCCGGUAAGGUGAUAUGAACCGUUAUAACCGGCGAUACCCGAAUGGGGAAACCCAGUGUGACUCGUCACACUAUCAUUAACUGAAUCCAUAGGUUAAUGAGGCGAACCGGGGGAACUGAAACAUCUAAGUACCCCGAGGAAAAGAAAUCAACCGAGAUUCCCCCAGUAGCGGCGAGCGAACGGGGAGGAGCCCAGAGCCUGAAUCAGCAUGUGUGUUAGUGGAAGCGUCUGGAAAGGCGCGCGAUACAGGGUGACAGCCCCGUACACAAAAGCGCAUGUGCUGUGAGCUCGAUGAGUAGGGCGGGACACGUGGUAUCCUGUCUGAAUAUGGGGGGACCAUCCUCCAAGGCUAAAUACUCCUGACUGACCGAUAGUGAACCAGUACCGUGAGGGAAAGGCGAAAAGAACCCCGGCGAGGGGAGUGAAAAAGAACCUGAAACCGUGUACGUACAAGCAGUGGGAGCACCCUUCGGGGUGUGACUGCGUACCUUUUGUAUAAUGGGUCAGCGACUUAUAUUCUGUAGCAAGGUUAACCGUAUAGGGGAGCCGUAGGGAAACCGAGUCUUAACCGGGCGUUAAGUUGCAGGGUAUAGACCCGAAACCCGGUGAUCUAGCCAUGGGCAGGUUGAAGGUUGGGUAACACUAACUGGAGGACCGAACCGACUAAUGUUGAAAAAUUAGCGGAUGACCUGUGGCUGGGGGUGAAAGGCCAAUCAAACCGGGAGAUAGCUGGUUCUCCCCGAAAGCUAUUUAGGUAGCGCCUCGUGAAUUCAUCUCCGGGGGUAGAGCACUGUUUCGGCUAGGGGGCCAUCCCGGCUUACCAACCCGAUGCAAACUGCGAAUACCGGAGAAUGUUAUCACGGGAGACACACGGCGGGUGCUAACGUCCGUCGUGAAGAGGGAAACAACCCAGACCGCCAGCUAAGGUCCCAAAGUCAUGGUUAAGUGGGAAACGAUGUGGGAAGGCCCAGACAGCCAGGAUGUUGGCUUAGAAGCAGCCAUCAUUUAAAGAAAGCGUAAUAGCUCACUGGUCGAGUCGGCCUGCGCGGAAGAUGUAACGGGGCUAAACCAUGCACCGAAGCUGCGGCAGCGAACGUAUCACCCAAGACAACUUUGCGGAGUUGACGAUUGACGGAGCGAAGCGACGUCAAAGCGUUCAUUAAAGUCGAGUUGGCUUAGGGAUACGUUCGUUGGGUAGGGGAGCGUUCUGUAAGCCUGUGAAGGUGGCCUGUGAGGGUUGCUGGAGGUAUCAGAAGUGCGAAUGCUGACAUAAGUAACGAUAAAGCGGGUGAAAAGCCCGCUCGCCGGAAGACCAAGGGUUCCUGUCCAACGUUAAUCGGGGCAGGGUGAGUCGACCCCUAAGGCGAGGCCGAAAGGCGUAGUCGAUGGGAAACGGGUUAAUAUUCCCGUACUUGGUGUUACUGCGAAGGGGGGACGGAGAAGGCUAUGUUGGCCGGGCGACGGUUGUCCCGGUUUAAGCGUGUAGGUGUGUGUUCCAGGUAAAUCCGGUUCACUUUAACACUGAGGCGUGAUGACGAGGCACUACGGUGCUGAAGCAACAAAUGCCCUGCUUCCAGGAAAAGCCUCUAAGCAUCAGGUAACAUCAAAUCGUACCCCAAACCGACACAGGUGGUCAGGUAGAGAAUACCAAGGCGCUUGAGAGAACUCGGGUGAAGGAACUAGGCAAAAUGGUGCCGUAACUUCGGGAGAAGGCACGCUGACACGUAGGUGAAGUGAUUUACUCAUGGAGCUGAAGUCAGUCGAAGAUACCAGCUGGCUGCAACUGUUUAUUAAAAACACAGCACUGUGCAAACACGAAAGUGGACGUAUACGGUGUGACGCCUGCCCGGUGCCGGAAGGUUAAUUGAUGGGGUCAGCGCAAGCGAAGCUCCUGAUCGAAGCCCCGGUAAACGGCGGCCGUAACUAUAACGGUCCUAAGGUAGCGAAAUUCCUUGUCGGGUAAGUUCCGACCUGCACGAAUGGCGUAAUGAUGGCCAGGCUGUCUCCACCCGAGACUCAGUGAAAUUGAACUCGCUGUGAAGAUGCAGUGUACCCGCGGCAAGACGGAAAGACCCCGUGAACCUUUACUAUAGCUUGACACUGAACAUUGAGCCUUGAUGUGUAGGAUAGGUGGGAGGCUUUGAAGCGUGGACGCCAGUCUGCGUGGAGCCGACCUUGAAAUACCACCCUUUAAUGUUUGAUGUUCUAACGUGGACCCGUAAUCCGGGUUGCGGACAGUGUCUGGUGGGUAGUUUGACUGGGGCGGUCUCCUCCUAAAGAGUAACGGAGGAGCACGAAGGUUGGCUAAUCCUGGUCGGACAUCAGGAGGUUAGUGCAAUGGCAUAAGCCAGCUUGACUGCGAGCGUGACGGCGCGAGCAGGUGCGAAAGCAGGUCAUAGUGAUCCGGUGGUUCUGAAUGGAAGGGCCAUCGCUCAACGGAUAAAAGGUACUCCGGGGAUAACAGGCUGAUACCGCCCAAGAGUUCAUAUCGACGGCGGUGUUUGGCACCUCGAUGUCGGCUCAUCACAUCCUGGGGCUGAAGUAGGUCCCAAGGGUAUGGCUGUUCGCCAUUUAAAGUGGUACGCGAGCUGGGUUUAGAACGUCGUGAGACAGUUCGGUCCCUAUCUGCCGUGGGCGCUGGAGAACUGAGGGGGGCUGCUCCUAGUACGAGAGGACCGGAGUGGACGCAUCACUGGUGUUCGGGUUGUCAUGCCAAUGGCACUGCCCGGUAGCUAAAUGCGGAAGAGAUAAGUGCUGAAAGCAUCUAAGCACGAAACUUGCCCCGAGAUGAGUUCUCCCUGAGACUUUAGGUCUCCUGAAGGAACGUUGAAGACGACGACGUUGAUAGGCCGGGUGUGUAAGCGCAGCGAUGCGUUGAGCUAACCGGUACUAAUGAACCGUGAGGCUUAACCUU
rnacentral:rRNA from 1 species